rnacentral:rRNA from 1 species
AGCCUUGCGAAUCAUUUAGAAACAAGGCAGAGGGCUAGUAACGCGUAGUCAACCUAACCUAGGGACGGGAUAACCUCGGGAAACUGAGUAUAAUGCCCGAGAGAACAUUAUGCCUGGAAUGGUUUAUGUUCCAAAUGAUUUAUCGCCGUAGGAUGGGACUGCGGCCUAUCAGUUUGUUGGUGAGGUAAUGGCCCACCAAGACUAUUACAGGUACGGGCUCUGAGAGGAGUGGCCCGGAGAUGGGUACUGAGACACGGACCCAGGCCCUAUGGGGCGCAGCAGGCGAGAAAACUUUGCAAUGUGCGAAAGCACGACAAGGUUAAUCCGAGUGGUUUCUGCUAAAGGAACCUUUUGUCAGUCCUAGAAACACUGAUGAAUAAGGGGUGGGCAAGUUCUGGUGUCAGCCGCCGCGGUAAAACCAGCACCUCAAGUGGUCAGGAUGAUUAUUGGGCCUAAAGCAUCCGUAGCCGGCUCUGUAAGUUUUCGGUUAAAUCUGUACGCUUAACGUACAGGCUGCCGGGAAUACUGCAGAGCUAGGGAGUGGGGAGAGGUAGACGGUACUCGGUAGGAAGGGGUAAAAUCCUUUGAUCUAUUGAUGACCACCUGUGGCGAAGGCGGUCUACCAGAACACGUCCGACGGUGAGGGAUGAAAGCUGGGGGAGCAAACCGGAUUAGAUACCCCGGGUAGUCCCAGCUGUAAACCAUGCAAAUUCAGUGAUGCAUUGGCUUGUGGCCAAUGCAGUGCUGCAGGGAAGCCGUUAAGUUUGCCGCCUGGGAAGUACGUACGCAAGUAUGAAACUUAAAGGAUUGGCGGGG